rnacentral:tRNA from 25 species
GGCCUCGUGGCGGAGUGGCUACGCAGAGGACUGCAAAUCCUUGUACGGGGGUUCGAUUCCCUCCGAGGCCUCCA